AGAGAGUUUUAUUCUUGCUUUUUCGUUCAGUUUUUGUUUGUUUUAUAUGUAAGUUUGUGCGUGAUUUGUUGAUUGUUCUAGAUGAAUUAUUAAAGAGUUUGUAUUAUUCUCAUUAGUUAUUAUUGGUUGUUCAAGUAUUCUUGUAUCUAGCAAUGCAUUUUAGUUUCGGUUAAAUUUUGUGCCAGCAGCCGCGGUUAUACUUUGGAGGCAUUUGAUUGUGUUUGGUUUAUUGGUAGUUAUUUUUGAUGUUUGUGGACUUUCUUGUGAUUAUUUCGUUAGGUGGAAUUUUUAUUUUCUUAUUUGUCUUCUAUCUUUUUGGAAGCUAUGAAACUCUUUUUGUAGACUAGGAUUAGAUACCCUAUUAUUUAGAAUGUUAAUUGUUUUGAUACCUGAGUAGUAUUAGUUAUGUUCUUGAAACUUAAAGAAUUUGGCGGUAUCUCAUUCCGUCCAGAGGAAUCUGUCUCGUUAUCGAUAGUCCGCGUUGGACCUUACUUGGAUUGCUUUGCGGUUUGUAUACCGCCGUUUAUUGAUUAUCUUUUUAGAGUUGGGCAAAAUUUUCUGGUUUCUUUAUUUUGGUUUAUUUCAGGUCAAGGUGCAGCUUGUUUUUAAGUGGAUGAUGGAUUACAUUUUUAUUUGUUUUUGGAUUAUUGAUUUUAAUAUUGGUAUGAAAUUGGAUUUGGUUGUAAUGGUUUGUAGAUUGUUACUGUGAUAUGGGUUCUGGGAUAUGCACACAUCGCCCGUCGCUCUCGUUUGUUGUUAAUGAGAUAAGUCGUAACAGAGUGGUUGUACCGGAAGGUGCGGCUGGAUUGAU
rnacentral:ncRNA from 1 species